rnacentral:lncRNA from 1 species
CAUCAACCAUCUUAUCUACCGUAAAAUGGUAAAUGAAGAAGUUGCUUCUGGAACAAAACCUUUAACCUUACUGUGCACUCUCUUGUAUUGUGUCCAUAAGAAUUUUGUUUAGGCUCUUCAUCAGAGUGAUUACUGAUGAUGUGCUUGACUCAAUACAAGAUGCUCUGGCUGACGAGCGAGUUUCAAUGGACUCAUCCUGUUGAGAGAAUGAUUCCAGAGAC